AUGUUUCAUCUUCAAACACCCAGCAGAAUAUGAACAUCUAUCAUCUGAAUCUUCAAAAUUCACCAACGCCCACCAGAAACUCUCCGACAUGGCUCCGUCGCCGGCGCCGUCAUCUUCCUCAUGUCCUCUCUUUCAUACUCUCCUCCCCGUUCUUGCCCCACAAGAUCACCGUCUAAACUACAACCCAACAACAACAGAUCUCACCGACAUUAGAGGAUAUACAGUGGGUUAAAUCCCAGAUCGAAGUUAACGGACUUCAUAUGCAAGAUAAUGUUCUUCGUAAGGGCAUUAAUCCUAGUACUCGUGCUCAACAGCUCCAGGAUUUGAUCCAAUUAUUGCAUAAUCCUCUUGACGGAGCCAUGGCUACCGGAGCCUAGAUUGACUACCGGCUACCGGGGUCCUAGAUACAAGAUUUGGAUAUGCAUAUGACCGGUGAGUUGAAUGCCAAUCUGAAGUUGAAUGCCAAAUCAAUAGAAAUCCCUUUUGAAGUUGAAUGCCAAAUCAAUAGAAUGCCAAUCUGAAGUUGAACGCCAAAUCAAUAGAAAUCCCUUUUGAAGUUGAACUCAAUAGAAAUCAAUGCCAAAUCAAUGCCAAUCUGAUGUUGAAUGUUUGUAGAUUUGAACUCAAAAGUCAAAGUUUUCAAAUUUGUAGCAGCAAAGCUUACCUCAAAUCUAAAGGCAUGAAAUCCCUUUUUCUUGAAUUCUUUUCUUCAUGAUAUUUCAUACACCGCUUUACCUCAAA